UACGUAGGGUGCAGGCGUUAAUCGGAAUUACUGGGCGUAAAGCGUGCGCAGGCGGUUUGCUAAGACAGGUGUGAAAUCCCCGGGCUUAACCUGGGAAUGGCAUUUGGGACUGCAAGGCUGGAGUGUGGCAGAGGAGACUGGAAUUCCCGGUGUAGCAGUGAAAUGCGUAGAUAUCGGGAGGAAUACCGAUGGCGAAGGCAGGUCUCUGGGCUGACACUGACGCUCAUGCACGAAAGCGUGGGGAGCAAACAGG
rnacentral:rRNA from 1 species